rnacentral:rRNA from 1 species
CGGACGGGUGAGUAAUGCUUGGGAAUCUAGCUUAUGGAGGGGGAUAACUACGGGAAACUGUAGCUAAUACCGCGUAAUAUCGAAAGAUUAAAGUGUGGGACCUUCGGGCCACAUGCCAUAGGAUGAGCCCAAGUGGGAUUAGGUAGUUGGUGAGGUAAAGGCUCACCAAGCCGACGAUCUCUAGCUGGUCUGAGAGGAUGACCAGCCACACUGGGUCUGAGACACGGCCCAG